AUGAUACUGCUUGAUGAACAGGGAACUAUGAUACAUGCCAAGGUAAUAAAACAUAUGGUUAACAAGUUCAGGCCAUUGAUCCAAGAAGGUUUAGUCUACAUGAUAGCGAAUUUUAAGGUUACAUCUACCAUGAAUUUCCGUCCAGUUGAAGGCGACAAGAUUAUUAACUUCUUGCACACAACUAAAAUUCAAUAGAUUAAGGGACUUAAAAAUAUCAGAAUAGCAGAACAAAGUUUCAUGUUUUGUAGUGUUGAAGUUCUUUCCACAAGAGAUGGCCAGAGGAUGUACUUAUCCGAUGUCAUUGGGGUAGCAAGUUAUAUAGGGAAUAUUGAAGAAACGGAGACAACUCAUGGGAUUUCCAAGAUUCGAGAUAUUGUACUUCGAAUUGAGUAA
rnacentral:rRNA from 1 species